UCGGGGAAUUUUGGGCUAUGGGCGAAAGCCUGACCCAGCAACGCCGCGUGAAGGAUGAAAUCCCUCGGGAUGUAAACUUCGCAAGAACGGGAAGAAUAAGUAGGGGACAAUACCCCCUAUGAUGACGGUACCGUUUGUAAGCUCCGGCUAACUCCGUGCCAGCAGCCGCGGUAAUACGGGGGGAGCAAGCGUUGUUCGGAUUUACUGGGCGUAAAGGGCGCGUAGGCGGCCAGCGCAAGUCAGUUGUGAAAUCUCCGAGCUUAACUCGGAAAGGUCAACUGAUACUGCGCGGCUAGAGUGCGGAAGGGGCAACUGGAAUUCUCGGUGUAGCGGUGAAAUGCGUAGAUAUCGAGAGGAACACCUGCGGCGAAGGCGGGUUGCUGGGCCGACACUGACGCUGAGGCGCGAAAGCUAGGGGAGCGAACGGGAUUAGAUACCCCGGUAGUCCUAGCCUUAAACGAUGAAUGCUUGGUGUCUGGGGUUAUAUAGUCCCCGGGUGCCGUCGCUAACGCUUUAAGCAUUCCGCCUGGGGAGUACGGUCGCAAGACUGAAACUCAAAGGAAUUG
rnacentral:rRNA from 1 species